GAAAGUUGCCGUUCGAGGAGGGGCCCGCGUACCAUUAGCUUGUUGGUGGGGUAAAGGCCUACCAAGGCAACGAUGGUUAGCUGGUCUGAGAGGAUGAUCAGCCACACUGGANCUGAAACACGGUCCAGACUCCUACGGGAGGCAGCAGUGAGGAAUUUUGCGCAAUGGGGGAAACCCUGACGCAGCAACGCCGCGUGAGUNAUGAAGACCUUCGGGUCGUAAAGCUCUGUCAAGUGGGAAAAAAUACUUCCGGUCAAUAGCCGGAAGGACUGAUGGUACCACUGGAGGAAGCACCGGCUAACUCCGUGCCAGCAGCCGCGGUAAUACGGNAGGGUGCAAGCGUUGUUCGGAUUUACUGGGCGUAAAGAGCGUGUANGGCGGUUUGGCCAAGUCAGAUGUUGAAAGCCCCUGGGCUCAACUCCAGGAAGUGCAUUUNGAAACUGCCNUACUA
rnacentral:rRNA from 1 species